AGAAGUACCAAAGCCCGUAACAUCCCCAAGCAGAAAGGAAUGGUAAGAGUAGACGAACACCCUCCAAAACAAUGUACUAGCCUUUGAUCUGACAAUAGAGACCUUAAGUCUUCGCCACACCUCCAAGUCACUGGAAGCCUAGACUCGCAAAAAAUAAUAUAGUAAAUUAAAGAACAGAGAGAAAAUCAUUUUUCAAGAAAAUGAAAAAAAAAAUAGAAAAAAAAAGGUUGGGAAAGAGAAAAGCUCAUCCAAAAUCUUAUCACAAAACCAAAUAGCAGGGAUCCCAAACAUGGCCAAUAGUCCCCGUUCAAGCUUCCCUAAAAUCAAGACAACAGAUAGAAACCGUCACCAAAUACCCCCAGUGAAUUUUCCAGGAAAGAGAACAAAGACCACGUUGGCAAGAAAAACUCCCAAUUUAAUUCAAAUCCAUCCAAAUGAAAGCUCUUCUACCCUCCGCAAACCAGAAGUCCACUAUUCCUGAAAGACGACAUCAAAAGAACCAGAACCAGAGGAAACGAAAUCUUGAAACAUCACCAAGAUCGGAACAAACAGUAAAGCAACUGCCUAUAGCAAUGCAACAAUGAUGCAGAAAGCAAAACUCCAGAUUACAGAUUACAUUCACAUCCAUCCAAUAAUUUUUAAGAAUCAUCACCUCAAAAGCCCAUAUUCAGUCACCACCCUCAGUAGAAUUCUGCAAGUGAGUGAAAACAUGAAUAGCCAACAAAGACUUGAACUUGGCACAAAGAUGAAAUAAAAAUUGUAGAUCAUCUAGAAUAUUAUCAGAACUGACAAAUGUAGCAUUCAAUCUUCUUCAGACCAUGAUGAAUCAGCACCACCAAAAACACUACCUAUAGAGACAUGUUAGAUGACAGAAUUUAAUUCCCGUUAGAUACCAAGCACCGCAGAGCCAUCCCCAAAGAGAAGUCCUGGACUAAGCUAAUCCAUCAAAAUACGAAACACAAGAAAAGAACAAUAGGGUACAAUAACAUAGGUGAAUUGAAUGGACAGAAGACAAUUCAUAGAUGGUUUAGAAAAAAAAAAGUUGAGAAUAAGCAGAGCUAUACACUUGGUUAUACCUCAAUCUAUUUCUCAUGGAUCAGGAAAGUCAACUCUGCAGGGAUUACCACCAGACCAAAUAAUGGAGACAGAAUAAGAAAAGAUUAACAGAAAAAUUAUAUAGUGUCAAAACCCCUAAAUUCCUCGUGCACAAAAGAUAAAUUAGUAUAGGUGAGAAAAUAACUCCCUCCAAAUAAGUUUACUAGCCCUUGAUCCGAGAAUAGAGAGGUAAGUUGAACCACCUUCACUGAAGCCCUAGUAAUAUAGGAAAUUAUAAGACAGAGCAGAUCUACCAUCCAGAGAUCUCUCAAUCAAUUUCAAGGAAACAACAGAAAACAAGUAGGGAAAGGGAGAGCUCCUCCAAAAUCUUUUCGCCCAGAAUAGCACAGUAACAAACAUGAUAACAAUGCUUUGAUCCAAGCUAUC
rnacentral:lncRNA from 1 species